GUGAAUCAUCGAAUUUUUGAACGCAAAUUGCACUCUCUGGUAUUCCUGAGAGUAUGCCUGUUUGAGGGUCAGUUUAAAUAAAAAUAGGUGUGGUUGCUGCUUUUCGUGGUGACGAACCGGAUUUGGGUCGUCUUGCGUUCGGUUAGGUGUCCUAAAUUUUUGCAUGAUUUUUUUCGAACGUAUUUAAAUGCUGUUACGUACGUUUGCGAUAUAGAAUACUGGGUGUGGUCAUCCUCAUGGUUGUCGGCUAU
rnacentral:misc_RNA from 1 species